rnacentral:rRNA from 1 species
UACGGAGGGUGCAAGCGUUGUUCGGAAUCAUUGGGCGUAAAGCGCGUGUAGGCGGCUUGGCAAGUCGGUUGUGAAAGCCCGGGGCCCAACCCCGGAAUUGCAUCUGAAACUGCCUCGCUAGAGCCCGGAGAGGAAGGCAGAAUUCCCGGUGUAGGGGUGAAAUCCGUAGAUAUCGGGAGGAAUACCAGCGGCGAAGGCGGCCUCUGGACGGUGACUGACGCUGAGACGCGAAAGCGUGGGGAGCAAACAGGG